UACGUAGGGUGCGAGCGUUGUCCGGAUUAUUGGGCGUAAAGAGCUCGUAGGCGGCUCGUCGCGUCGACCGUGAAAACCCGCGGCUUAACUGUGGGCUUGCGGUCGAUACGGGCAUCACUGGAGUUCGGCAGGGGAGACUGGAAUUCCUGGUGUAGCGGUGAAAUGCGCAGAUAUCAGGAGGAACACCGGUGGCGAAGGCGGGUCUCUGGGCCACUACUGACGCUGGAGAAGCGAAAGCGUGGGGAGCGAACAGG
rnacentral:rRNA from 1 species